ACGAAGGGGGCAAGCGUUGUUCGGAUUUAUUGGGCGUAAAGGGUGCGUAGGUGGUUGUACAAGUCGGAUGUGAAAACCCCUGGCUCAACCAGGGAUCUGCAUUCGAAACUGUACGGCUUGAGUACAGAGGAGGUGAGUGGAAUUCUCAGUGUAGCGGUGAAAUGCGUAGAUAUUGAGAAGAACACCUGUGGCGAAAGCGGCUCACUACUCUGAUACUGACACUGAGGCACGAAAGUUAGGGUAGCAAACGG
rnacentral:rRNA from 1 species